rnacentral:rRNA from 1 species
AAUAGAUACCCGGGUAGUCCGCGCCGUAAACGAUGAGUGCUAAGUGUUAGAGGGUUUCCGCCCUUUAGUGCUGAAGUUAACGCAUUAAGCACUCCGCCUGGGGAGUACGGCCGCAAGGCUGAAACUCAAAGGAAUUGACGGGGGCCCGCACAAGCGGUGGAGCAUGUGGUUUAAUUCGAAGCAACGCGAAGAACCUUACCAGGUCUUGACAUCCUCUGACAACCCUAGAGAUAGGACUUCUCCUUCGGGAGCAGAGUGACAGGUGGUGCAUGGUUGUCGUCAGCUCGUGUCGUGAGAUGUUGGGUUAAGUCCCGCAACGAGCGCAACCCUUGAUCUUAGUUGCCAUCAUUUAGUUGGGCACUCUAAGGUGACUGCCGGUGACAAACCGGNGGAAGGUGGGGAUGACGUCAAAUCAUCAUGCCCCUUAUGACCUGGGCUACACACGUGCUACAAUGGACGGUACAAAGAGCUGCAAGACCGCGAGGUGGAGCUAAUCUCAUAAAACCGUUCUCAGUUCGGAUUGUAGGCUGCUAAC